AAAAUUCGUGUAGUUAACACAUAAAAUUGUGUAAAAUUUUACAUUUUUAUUUUGUUAGGUGUCCUCCAAAGCUCACUCGGCAAAUUACAAGCUUUUCAAAUCCGACGAAAACUAUUUACGGCUUUUGCCCAAAAACUCCCCAUUUACCUACAUAAAUCAAUAUGUGCUGUGGUCCGGCAGGUUGGUGUUCAUUCUGUGGACCUCCGUGUGGCGGACCCUGCUGUCAAGCUUGUUGUGUUGAGAUGUGUUUUUCGCCCUGCACCCCGGCGUAUCUGCAAUGUUCUUUCUGCUGUGGCUGCUAAGCGAUGGCAGACCCGACGGGCCCUGGCGAGGACUACUGGCCGCUGAGGAGCCCAUGGACCAAAGCGCCCCGGUCUAUGAUGGCCCCGAAGGAUAAGAACACAGUCAUGACAAAAUAACAAUGUAAAACAAAAAAAAAAUAGAAAGAAAAACAUACAAUUUCGUGUACAAUGUUACCGUUAGCAAUAAACACAACCGCAUGAA